GAUGAACGCUGGCGGCGUGCUUAACACAUGCAAGUCGAACGAAGUGGAGAUCUUCGGAUUGAAACUUAGUGGCGGACGGGUGAGUAACGCGUGAGGAACCUGCCUUUCAGAGGGGGACAACAGUUGGAAACGACUGCUAAUACCGCAUGAUGCAGAACUACGGCAUCGUAGAUCUGCCAAAGAUUUAUCGCUGAAAGAUGGCCUCGCGUCUGAUUAGAUAGUUGGUGGGGUAACGGCCUACCAAGUCGACGAUCAGUAGCCGGACUGAGAGGUUGAACGGCCACAUUGGGGACUGAGACACGGCCCAGACUCCUACGGGAGGCAGCAGUGGGGAAUAUUGCGCAAUGGGGGGCAACCCUGACGCAGCAACGCCGCGUGAAGGAAGAAGGCC
rnacentral:rRNA from 1 species